rnacentral:rRNA from 1 species
AGCGAACGCUGGCGGCGUGCUUAACACAUGCAAGUCGAACGGCCUUCGGGUAGCAAUACUUGAGGGUAGUGGCGAACGGGUGAGUAACACGUGGGUAAUCUCCCCUCGAGUGAGGAAUAAGCUUGCGAAAGCGGGUCUAAUACCGCAUGACGCCCCGGGACACAAGUCUUCGGGGCCAAAGCCGUAAGGCGCUUGGGGAUGAGCCUGCGUCCUAUUAGCUAGUUGGUAGGGUAAUGGCCUACCAAGGCUUUGAUGGGUAGCCGGCCUGAGAGGGUGAACGGCCACACUGGAACUGAGACACGGUCCAGACUCCUACGGGAGGCAG